rnacentral:lncRNA from 1 species
AAUGUGUUUGAUCUGUUUGAAAGGUGUAAUCGGCGUUUGCAUGUGUUUUUGGAAUAGCUUGCAUGUACUGGUCCAGUUGUCGCUUGCAUGGCAUAAUGAAUGGAUAACAUUGCUUCGCUUAGCCACAUAGGAUAAGUGAAACGCAGAGUUUCACAUGCUAGUGCGCCACAUUUUAAAUUGUUCCUCCCUUCGAAUCCUGGCUCCAGCUUCUUUUCAAAUGGCAUUUUAAUUUUCUCUUUUC